UUCUAAAUUUGGAUUCUUCUGAAGCUCGUCUUCGAUUAUGCCUCCUUGCUUCCUUUGCUUGCUUGAUUUUGUUGUUGUUGUUGUUGUGUCCCCAGCUUAUUUGUAGGGGUUUGGAUUUACUCCUCCUAGAUACGGCAACACUUUCGUCCACUUAUCCAAUUCGUGCAAUAUUCCUAUCUGAUUUUAGUCUCCUUCUCGACCGUCUCAAAUGUCAUCUCCCCUGCCGCCUCGGGUUGGCGUUGACCUUCUUACGACCCACCUUCCUUAUUCAUUGCAUAUCUAGCUGUUCAAAGCUAAGGUAGCUUUGGUGUUGCUUCAACCUACCUUUGUUGCUUGGUAUGUUGGUUCAGCCUAUGUUUUUCUUCUCAUUGCAGGUCCCUCUUUCGGUUGCUCAUCGCCGACAACGAUGGGAGGAAGCACUUCACAUGGGUUGCUAUCGGGUUAACUGUGUUUAGGCUUCUCCGUGAUACAAGCUCCAAUUUUAGGCUGCUUUGUUUGGUCGUCUAGGCUGUGCUGCAAGCCGAAUUUAGAUUGGGCUCGUUUUUUAGUCUUUUGGCAUAUGUUGUUUCAAAUUCAGGAGUUCAAGUGGAAUGAUCACUUAUGAACCCAAAUUGCGACUUGUCUUGAUUCGGAGAUACAUCUUUGUUGUGGUCAUUUUCAUUUUUGUUUUGUUUAUGUAUUUGCGUCUAUUUGUUCUUUUUGGUAUAGACUUUCAGUCUGACAGUUAGGUACACUGUAUCUGCUGCUCUUUGAACUGCAUUUUUUGCAUCAAUUUCUCUGUAUGAAGUUACUAGUUGAUUAAAAACUAAAAGCACCAAAGUUUUUUUGUUAAAUAUAAGGAAAAAUGGUCACUGACUUUUGACCCAUUAAUCACUUUACU
rnacentral:lncRNA from 1 species